rnacentral:lncRNA from 1 species
CGCCCUUCGAACAUUUGAAAACCUAUGGACAUCACUAAGCUAAAUGAGUAAGAUCAAUGCAUAAAUCGACUUUUGAAGUAACCUGGACCCUUUACUACUUAAUAAACAAUCAACUAGCCAUUGCAUGAUCACAACAUUAUUUAAAUACAACAAAACCUGUUAUGACAGUCCAAAUGAAUUACAUAAUAGGAAGAGGUCUAACACAGUCUACACUAUUUAUCAUGAUGGAAUGUAGAAUGUAACUACUGAUUCUAUUACACCAGUUAUACAUCAAGUUUCCAUAGUGGUUCAGAAUCAGAUUCAGUGGUAAAAUAUUCAAUGAUCACCUAGCUAUAAUAUACUCGAUAGAUUGAACUCUACACUAAACACAUACCAAAUAUAGCUCUUGAGAGUGUGCUGUUAGCAGCGAAUCAAACACAAUACAUCAAACGAAUCAUAAUAAGGGAAUUCAGAAAGAUGAGAAAAUGAAACUAUGAACUAGAGAGUCGAUGCUAUGCUUUAAACUUCAAUUUUUCAUUUCAAUCUUCAAUUCAAGACUCACAUUAUAUAGGAUUCAGAAACAUGUACCUGAAUAUAUAAAAAUAAACCAAAAAACAAAGCUUGAGAUCGGUGAAACAACAUCAGCAAAAUAGAACCCAGAUUUUGGCAAUAAAACAGUAGAACCAAAUAGCAACACUUUUAACCAAACUUUUAAAGAUACAAAACUCAAUCCAUUUCAACCCAAAUGCAAGACUUUGUCAUUUUCAGUAAUGUUAACUGAGCAAUGAAAGAUCAAAAGCUGAAGCCAAGUGAGAUUUGAGCAAUUUUUAAACAAAGGAAAAUGCAGAAUCUUCAGUGUUAUAUCAGAAUUUUACUCAAAAAAAUGCUCAGCCAUUUUCUUUUCAGUCUUUUUUAAGCUCUCCCAAAAUCUGACUUCAACCUCAAGUAAGGAUGCCUUUAUAGGUAAGUUAUUAGGGCAGCCUAAAAGAAAUCAAAUUUGCCUUUAGACCCUCUUGGAAUUUUGGUUUUUGCUUAGAAAUCCCUAGGUUAAAACUCAAAUUUUCAGAAAAGUACCAAAGGCCAGCUUCUAGGAAGCUUCCCAAGUUAGUUACAUCAAAUUUCCCCAACUUAGAUUUCCUAAAUUAGCCCCUAGACCCUUUGUUUUUUACCACAGCAGGCCAUAUGGGUCAAUUCUGACCCAAGAUUUAAACUAAAAUGAGUGGGCUUCCCUUGAAAAUGGGUCAGAAAUGACCCCAAAGCCAAUAAGAAAAUCCAUUUGGUAAUUCAUGAAAAACAGAAGAAGAAACCAAUUAAAUGAUAUCAAAACAAAAAUCUAAACUAAACAACUGAUCUAAACCAAUUAAUGAGCUAGAAUUAACUAUAUUACCAAGUCAACAACAUCUAAUUAAACUAAUCAUACGACUAAAAAUCAGAAGCUUAAAGUCAUGAGUGACAAUUAAGCAUGACGAGUGAAUAAAGCAACGUUUAAAAGUUGAAAGGAAAACUAAAAAACAGCCGAAACAAAUACAUACAUGGAUCGAUCCAGAAAAAAGAAAUCCUAGGUUCAGAACCUUUGUCAAUUUUCAGUCUACUCACGAAAAAUGAGAAGAAAGGAAGAGGAGUAAGCGGUUAAAUAACGAAAUGGAUAGAAAAGAUAAGAAAAAGGAGGACUUACCAACUUAAAUAAACACUUCUGGAUGCCCUGAUUUAAACAAAAUUGAUGCUAAUCGCCCGUUCUUUGUCAAGAACAAGCGGGAAUAUUAAUUUUGCCUUGAAUCAGAUUUCAAAACUCAAAAAACUGGAAGCCUAUGUCAUGCAUGCCACAGAUUCAAGAGAUUUUGAUUUUGGGCUUUUAAAGCUUCAACUUCGAUUCAAGAUUCGACGAAAGUUAGGGUGAUUCGAGAGAAAACAUAUGGGAAUUUGGAAUGAGGGAGCCUUGGAGGUUCUCUGGUGUUAGUUUGGGGUUGAACAGAGGUGGCGCCGCCCCCGGAGAAAACAAAGGUCGCGCUAGGGUUUCUCCUUUGAAUCAAAAUUCGAGACGUUCCAAGGAGCUUUGAGGGUAGGUGAUUGGAUAUUCGGGGUUGGGUGGAGGAGAGGAUUCAUGGGUGUAUUUUUGGUGGUGAUUUGCGGUGGCGCCGCUACUGGUGGCGGGUGGAGAUAAGGGCGACUUUUAGGGUUCUUGUUGGGCUGGGGUGAGAGAAAUGAG